CCUACGGGAGGCAGCAGUGGGGAAUUUUGGACAAUGGGCGCAAGCCUGAUCCAGCAAUGCCGCGUGCAGGAUGAAGGCCUUCGGGUUGUAAACUGCUUUUGUACGGAGCGAAAAGGCUUCCACUAAUACUGGGGGCUCAUGACGUACCGCAUGACGAGACAAGCUC
rnacentral:rRNA from 1 species